AUAGAGGAAUGAAGGGAGGGAGGAAAGAAUGUUGCUUUUCAUUGCCACUUGCACAGGAUUCUUGUGGGAGCCAGUAGGGAAGUUGCUAUUUUGAAUCGGAUAAAUUGGGGCUUCCUCUUCUUGUUCAUCAAGACCACUCUUUGGCUCAUUUCAUCCCAAUAAAACAAACCACGACACACUACCAGACUGAAGAGACCGUACAGUGCACUUUUAAGUGUCUGGGCUCCAAACCAAACUGCCUGGGUUUGAAUCCUGGCCCUGCUACUUAUCACUGUGUGAUACUGGACAAGUUACUUAACCUUUCUGUGCCUGUUUUCUCAUCUGCAGAAAUAGGUGCUGAUAGUACCUACCUCAUGGGAGUGUUGUGAGGAGAAAAUGUGUUAGCAUGGGUACGACGUUUAGAAUGGCAUUUGCCACAUGGUCUGGGAAUAAAUGUCAGCUGUCAUUAUGCUGUGGGUAUAUAAAUACACUACUCCUUGCAAUAUCAGUUUUUGCCCACACAAUUUCCAGCCCUCUGCCCUCAGGUGAGCCAGCCUGUCUCAUCUCAGGGCCUCAUGGUGGCUUAGCUCACUCAGCAGUGGGAGCAGGUGGCUGAGCUGCAGUCAGGGUUCUGUGAACGCGGUGGGUUGAGGAGGGAAAGGAAUGAGGUUUGGAGUCCUUUUGUUGUUUUGCUUGGGUCAGAAGGAAUCUGUGGUAGCAUGCAGUCAUGAUCUUAUUUUACAGCUGCAGGAUGUUGGUAGACAAACUUCUCCCUAAUCUAUAUGAUCUAUAAGCCCAAACGGCCUUUAAUAGGGGGCGGUCACAGGAGGUCAGUGGCCUCCUCCUUCACAGCAGCUAUGUGAUGUGGCUGAGCUCUGAGAAAGAGCACUUGGCUGUGGUGCAACUGGCCUAGAAUUCAUAGCCCCAUUCUCUUGAUCUGAGUUGCUUCUGGGGGAUGAGCGUGGCACCACAGCGUCUCAGGUGCUAUAUAGGGGACUUCCCAAGAGUUGCCCGUAUCGGUUGUAAGGUGCUGUCUACAUGAGGGGAUGGUUUUAUGAAUACACAAGGGAGAGUUACCAGCAGAGUGAUGGCGAAAGCUUUGAGCUAGAUGGUUUUCAUCUUCCUGAAACAUCGCCCUAGGGUUUUCCUGAUGUUUCCAUCAAUCUGUUAAGUGCAGUGUGUGGUCGUGUCCCUCAGGGACUUUCCCAUUUACUCUGGAAGACCAAACUUAUAGGCUACACUCUGGGUGCAGACAGUGCUAGUCCUGUGGGGAGUUGGGAAAAAGGAGUGGGAGGCUUUGUGGCCGAGGAGGGGCUUCAGGGCAGCAAGGAUGACGGCUGGGUUUGAACAGUCAGUGGAGAAGGAAGUGUGGAAAGGCCAGAGAAGUAGACAUGGAUGUGUGCAUGCCAGAGAGGGCAGGCAGACAGGGUUCAUGGAGGGGGCAGAAGCAGCACAUUGACCUCUGCUUCUGCCAGAAGAUCAGAGGGGAUAUCGGGGGGGUGGUCUGGCCAGAGUAAGGGCAGCCUUGAAGCCCCGAUGGAAUAAUUUUGACUUGAUUCUAUGGAAAAUGACAUACGACAGUGUAGGAGGGCUUGUCUUCUAACUGAAACCAGCUGGGAAUCUUUCCCAGUAGAGUCAAGGGCAGGGCAGAGCGAGGGCCUUUGGCAGCAUGUGCAAAUGUACAUGCAUGUAACCAUUGUGUGUGGCCCACCAUGCUUUUAAACCUACCUUUACCUCCUCUAGUUCUUCAUAUCUCUUAACCCUCUUGUCUGUGAGCAUCAACAAUCCGGGGCUUACACAGACAACACCACAGUGUGCCAUCUUGCCAGAAGGAGAAACUGAGGCACUCUAUUCUAAAGAGGCUGGUUCUAGGACCUGCCCUUGAAUCACUGUGGAGUAAGACCCAGAGUGUGGGCUGCCAGGCCCCUUCCUUCAGGGAUCUGGCUUCUAAAGUUGGUUCUUUUCCUGUAUCUCAUAAAGAGGGAAAGGAUGGGCCUAAGAGAGGUUAUUUGGACAAAUGGCCAUUGUAAUUGCCUCCUAUCAGACACAGGUGGAUAGAGGCAGGUGUGGGGAAGAGGGCUGCCUGGAUCUGGGAUUCCCAAUCCCCCAUACUCCUUGGCCUAUUGUUGAGGGGGAGCUAGAGGAGGGGUGCGGACUUAGCAGGUUAAGAAAGAUAAACGCUUACUCUUUAACAGUGGGAAAGAGGGACGGAAGAGUAAGAUUGAAAUCUGAGGCAAGAGGAGUGGCCUAACCUGGUGGAGGCAGGAGAGGCGCGUGUCCUCUACAUGCCCGUCCAAGUCCCUGGGGCUGGGGCUGGAGUCGACAACAGAUCAGAGCACAGGAGUAGAGCGCUUCUGGGAGGGUGGGGCCACCCGUGAGUCACGUCCUGCACCCUGGAGCCCAGAGGACCCUUCGCUCAAACCCACCACCAGCUGGCAACACCGGACCAGACCAGCCGGAGCCGCUUUCUUCGCUGCGCAGAGGAGCCUGGGAGAAGCCAGAGGUGCUUGAGGAUGGAUUCUUGGCUCCUGGUGCAUUGCCACUCCCUGCCACCCUCCUCCUUGUCUUCUAUCUUCUCCUGGUGGCGUCAGGCCUUGCUUCGUGUCCCAACAGGAGCCUCUGGGGCUGGCACAGCCCUCACUGCCUACAACCUGGGCCUGGUGGUUCUCCUAGGGUGCCUCUGGGAGGUCAUGGUCACCCCGCUGCUGGCUAACUGCAGCUACUUCUGCCAGCCAGUGGACUACAGAUGGAGAAAGCAUGGAAUGAGGGCAUCUUCCUGGAGACAGGAAGGUAGGCACUGUGGAAUCAGCGGUGCGUAGAACAGUGAGGAUUUGGGGCUGAACCCAGCCCAGGUGGGCCAAGCCGUGGCACCAGCCGGACUGCAGUCUGAUGGAACUUCCCCUUCCUGCCCAGCAGAUGGCGAGCGUGUGCUGCUGGUGCCUCUUUCCAAAGGACGUUGAAUUGCUUGACAGCCCUGCCCAGCAUCUAGAAGACCACCUGAAGCUUUCACACUUUGAGACCUUAGAUCCUGCGAGGGUUUGAAUUUCAAAAGCUUCAAUUAAAGCACACAGUGUUCUUUACUUUAUGAAUGAAGCCAGAGCAGCCCACCUUCCUGCAUCUCUACCACCAUGGCACCAUGCCCUGUGAUGGGUGGGCUGGAGUCAAAUAUGUAGCAGGCAGCCAGGGUCAGUUUGUGGCCACUGCUGCCCCCUCUUCCUACAGUCUCCUCACUGAGUGCCCCUUCCCUGUUGGGUUCAACACAUCUGUGCUCCUGUAAGCCCUCAGCCUCCUCGUUCUCUUCCUCAACUUCUACCACCAGACACAUCUGAGAAGCAAGCAAGAGAGGCUGAACUAGGAGCAGGACCCAGGGACUGAAACCAGCACAGCAUCCCCACAGAGAAUUGGGUGGAAGGCAGCAUGGCUUCCAGCUUACUGGUGCUGAGCAGAUUGCUCUGGGUCUCCAUUGUAUCCUCUGAAGGAAGGAGGAGGAUUGCCUUCUGUCCAGAUCUCAGGAUCAAACAAAUAGGUCCAAUUUCCUGUGCUCACUUCAGUUAGAGCACUUCUCAUGUGACUUUGUAGCUUUGUGUGCAUCUCCUUCCUCUACUAGACCUAAGCCCCUCACGGGAGGGACUCUCUUAUUCUUGAUGUUCCCCACACCUGGAAUUUCAAUAAACAUCUCAAUAAACGUGUGUGUUUGGAUCCUUGGAUCCCAUGACUGCCGUCAUAACCUUGGUGAAGAAGAGGGCUGGGAGUAGGAAAGAGGUCAAGGUUCGCUUGAUCUCUAACCCUAUAGUGGGAAAUUGUGACGGAGAAUAUUCAAGAGUGGGUGUGGGUCUGUUUGAUUUCAGGUGUAGCUGUGUAAAUAGUUAGCCCUGCAUAUAUUUUUGUCUACUCACAACUGCCUGCAUGUGUAUUCAUAGAGUUGUGUGAUUCUGUGUAUGUGCCUGGGGAGUGGGAGAGGGCCAUGUGCACAUGUCUGAAUACUUGUUUUCAAAUAUACAUGCAUGUUUCCAUUUGGGUUUCUCUCCAUUUGUGUUGUUUGCCUGCCUCUUCUGUAAGUCUCUGAAAGUGCCACAUUGGCAAAUAAAAGCCACUGGGAUCAAUAAUUCUCCUGUUCUGAUGGGAGACAUGGAAGCCCACUGAGAAAUCUCCGAAUACAUGUUCCACUAAGAGCUUCCAAAAAUAAAUGGGAAAAAAGGAGAAAUGGGGCACACCCAUCUUCUUCACAGAGAGGGAAACUGAGGACCAGCAAAGGGGAAUAUAUGACUGAGAUACUAUGGCAGAAGCAAAUAUUGGCUGAGCUGUUCAAACCCAGAAUAGGAUGGGUUUCUUGAAAGCAGUUUGCCUGGGAGCUGUCUCUAUGUCUCCAGUAUGAUGACUUUUCUCCUUUAUAAUUGCCCUUCGGCUGUUUUUCAUCUCUAGGUAAGUUCUUAUUUUGCCAUGCCUCAAUAGUCAAGAAAAUUAAAGAAUUGCUGAAGGUUAUGCAGUGCUAUUUGGGGACUGUGUCUCCAUCUGGCCUUUUAGUUAAUCAACCCAAGGCCAGGCAAGGCUACAUCCUGUGGACAGAAUACUCAGAGAAAAUUCC
rnacentral:lncRNA from 1 species